UAAAAAGAGGGGGAAAUAAAAAAAUAUCGCCAGCUCACAGCGUCAAGCCCGCCAACCAGUCGCAACGCGCCACAACAUUGCAAACCAGCAAAUAGCAACGUCCGAGUGCAUUCCUCGUCAAUCCCACGCCAAGCACAAGCCUUGCCUAGCAUGUUCAUGAUCUCGUCCAUUGCCAUGUUCUUCCAUUGACCAUCAACGAUUGGGGUUUGGGUUCUCUUGUUCCCCCUCGUUGUGUUAUAUCGUCGAUAAUGCGUUUUCGUUGCUACAUCGAUUCCAUUUACCGGUACUGUCACUGCACUUUCUUCAACUCCCCUUGUCGAUGUAUCUGUUGCUGUUACUGUUGCUCUUAGGAGAUAUUGUGGUUGUCGUCGGAUUUACUUGUACAUAUAAGUUUUGUUUCUUCAAUCUGAGAAGAAUUCGACAAUUUGGGGGAUUAAGGAUCGGUUUUGUUUUGGGCUUUUGAUGGACAUAUUCCAUUCGCAAUCAAAUUUGUCUCUUGGCUUUUCUUCUCAUGCUUCGCCGCCUCAACGGACCCAGAUAACCGGCGAUUCCAUCUCUCUUCAGCUCGACUCAAGCUUUUGUGAUCCCUCGCUCCCGAUUCCUCCGGUUCCGCUUCAGUUGUUGGAGCCGCUGACGGAUAAUCACAAAGCGGAGAAUGGGAACUCGGCGGUAGAGUCCAAUGAAGAUGAAGAUAAGAAGGUCGAAGAGUUUCGUAUCCUCGGGCAUUCGAUGUGCUUGAAGAGGCGAAGAGAUAGCGAAUCAUCCUCAUCGUCUUCCAUUUCUUCCAAGUGGGUUUCGUUGGACCCCAAUCUCGAGGCGCGGAGAGCGGCUGUUCGAUCAUGGGGUAAUCAAUCCCUACAAGUUGCGGACCCUGACAUUUAUGAGAUAAUGGAGAAUGAGAAAAUAAGGCAGUAUAAAGGGAUUGAAUUGAUAGCUUCGGAGAAUUUUGUGUGUCGAUCUGUGAUGGAAGCACUUGGAAGCCAUUUGACGAAUAAAUAUUCAGAGGGAAUGCCGGGUGCGCGAUAUUAUGGAGGGAAUCAAUAUAUUGAUGCGAUUGAAACGCUCUCUUGUGAACGCGCAUUGGCAGCAUUCAAUCUGGACCCUAAAAGUUGGGGCGUGAAUGUGCAACCUUAUUCAUGUACCUCUGCGAAUUUUUCUGUAUACACGGGAUUGUUGUCGCCUGGUGAUCGUAUCAUGGGGUUGGAUACGCCAUCCGGAGGGAACACUAGUCAUGGUUACUAUACUCCAAACGGAAAGAAAGUUUCAGGGGCGUCAAUAUUCUUUGGGAGUUUACCAUACAAGGUGAAUCCUCAAACGGGUUAUAUUGAUUACGAUAAACUAGAGGAAAAGGCGCUUGAUUUUCGUCCUAAGAUACUUAUUUGUGGUGGGAGCUCAUAUCCUCGAGAGUGGGAUUAUGCCAGAUUUAGGAAUAUUGCAGAUAAAUGUGGAGCCGUGUUAAUGUGCGAUAUGGCCCAGAUUAGUGGGCUUAUUGCAACCAAGGAAUGUGUGAGUCCUUUUGACUAUUGUGAUAUUGUUACUUCAACAACUCACAAAAGUCUUCGAGGCCCCAGGGGGGGCAUAAUUUUUUAUAGGAAGGGUACCAAACCAAGGAAGAGAGGGAUACUUGUAAGUCAGGGAUAUGAAAGCGAACAAUAUGACCUUGAAGAAAAGAUAAACUUUUCUGUUUUCCCAUCCUUGCAAGGGGGCCCACACAAUAACCAUAUUGCUGCUCUUGCCAUAGCUUUAAAACAAGUGGCUACUCCUGAGUACAAGGCCUACAUGCAGCAAGUGAAGAGAAAUGCCCAAGCUUUAUCAUCUGCUUUAUUGAGAAGAAAAUGCCGCCUAGUAACACGGGGUACAGACAACCAUCUAGUACUUUGGGAUUUAAGGCCUUUAGGAUUGACAGGUAAAUUUUAUGAGAAGAUAUGCGAGAUGUGUCAUAUUACUUUGAAUAAAAUUGCUAUCUUUGGUGAUAAUGGAGCUAUAACUCCUGGAGGUGUAAGGAUAGGUACCCCUGCCAUGACUUCAAGAGGAUGUCUGGAGACUGAUUUUGAAAUGAUCGCUGAAUUUCUGUAUAGAGCUGCAAAAAUCGCCAAUAUAGUGCAGAGAGAUUAUGGGAAGUUGCAGAAGGCUGUCUUAAAAGAUCUUGAGAGCAACAAGGACGUUGUUGAGCUCCAAGCACGGGUUGAGGCCUUUGCAGCUCAAUUUGCAAUGCCAGGUUUUGACAUUUGAACAUGGAAACGUAUGGGGAUGGAGAGCUCCUUGGCAUUUUAGGCUGCUCUUAGGUUAUGAUGCAUAAUGUGGUACAGACAGUACACAGAGCAGUGUACUACUGUUGAGGAUGUUUUCAAUAAUCAAGCAUCUUUUCACCAUGGAGGAACCUUGUCUGCCGAUGGCACUGACAGCAUAUUGACUAUUUCAAAUGUUGGGAAAGGGCCUCUUGACCAACCAACCGAAGUCCAUAAUAAGAGUUGAUAUUGCAAGAGGAUUCUGAUUGGAUUCCUCAAAUCACAACAACAAGAAGAAGAAGCCUUAUACCACUAGCCCACUAGGUGAUUGGGUAUAAGAGAUGAGGUGCUGUGUUAGUAUAGGGAUGUUCCCACUUCAAUUCAAGUUCCUAAUUUGUGUGACUCUUCAUUCUAGGAUUUUGCAUUGUGAUUUUGCUUUCUUGAGCCAAUUAAUUCAGAUGCCAGAGUCACACCGUUUCAAGUUGCAAUGGUGAAUUUUGUUUGGAAGGAGCAGCCAGUGAUUUUCCUCCCUCUGUAGUCAUCAAUGAUGCAAGCAGUUCCUUCCUCCAGCCUCUACAUUUUGAGAAAUGAAAAAAGACUUGGUUGCUGCUUGGUACAUGUUUGCUGGAGUGGAUUCCAGAUUGCGAUUCUUUAGAAAUGUCAUCCCAAAGCUUGUUAAAAUUUGUUUGGUCCUUCAUACACACACACAGUGAAGAUGCUGAGGUUGUGAAUUAAUUUAAUGCAAGUCUCAUCUUAAAUAUCCUAAUUGAGCAGACUGGGUUGGACUAACCAGUGCAACUGGUCUAUAGCUCAUCGGACCCUAAAAUGUAUUAUAAGAGAAAAGGGAUCAAGAGCCAACAAAAAUGUGGUUCCAUUUCUCUAACAAACAGUUGUUCAGUUGCAAUUGAAUUACCUGUUUUCUUG